UACGGAGGAUCCGAGCGUUAUCCGGAUUUAUUGGGUUUAAAGGGUGCGCAGGCGGGGGAUUAAGUCGGCGGUGAAAUUUUGCAGCUCAACUGUAAAAGUGCCUUCGAAACUGGUUUCCUUGAGUGUAGAUGAAGUAGGCGGAAUUUGUGGUGUAGCGGUGAAAUGCAUAGAUAUCACGAGGAACUCCGAUUGCGCAGGCAGCUUACUAAACCACUACUGACGCUCAUGCACGAAGGCGUGGGGAUCAAACAGGAUUAGAUACCCUGGUA
rnacentral:rRNA from 1 species